rnacentral:rRNA from 1 species
UACGUAGGCAGCGAGCGUUGUUCGGAGUUACUGGGCGUAAAGGGUGUGUAGGCGGUCGUUUAAGUUUGGUGUGAAAUCUCCCGGCUCAACCGGGAGGGUGCGCCGAAUACUGAAUGACUUGGAGUGCGGGAGAGGUGAGUGGAAUUCCUGGUGUAGCGGUGAAAUGCGCAGAUAUCAGGAAGAACACCCGUGGCGAAGGCGGCUCUCUGGUACGGAACUGACGCUGAGACGCGAAGCGUGGGGAGCGAACAGG